AUUUGUAUGUUUUUCAUUCUCGGUUGAAUAAAACUUUUCUCUCUGAAGUUCCAGAGACUUCUCACCUACUCCUUCUUCUCUUUACUUUCUCUCUCUAUAAUUUUCACGAUUCAUCGGCUUAAUCUCGAUCUUAACAUGGUAUCAGAGCCUCGACGACGUUCCGAUCAUGUUUCUGUGUGCUUCGUGGUCCUGGAUGAAGUCGGUUUCGAGGUUUUUGGGGGUGAUUUCUGAGACCUAAUGGUUGAUGAAGAUUUCAUCCUAACGGAGACCUUUCUGAGGUUCUCAUCGUGAUAUCCGAGUGUGUUUCAUUCUGCUGAACAUUCUGGACAGAUUCUCUGAUGAUUUUGGUUAGUUGGUUUUGGGUGACCUAUAGGCUUCUAGGGUUUCUGACGGUUUAACCUGAGGUUUUACUGUAUUCCGGUAGCUCGAUUAUCACUUUGUGGACGCUUUGGG
rnacentral:lncRNA from 1 species